UUGCCUAGGGUUAGUAUUACCCCUAGGCAACUUUUGUAACGUGUAACA
ncrna:unclassified sequences ssNA-helicase RNA